GACAGAGGAUGCAAGCGUUAUCCGGAAUUAUUGGGCGUAAAGAGCUCGUAGGCGGUUUGUCGCGUCUGCUGUGAAAACUGGAGGCUCAACCUCCAGCCUGCAGUGGGUACGGGCAGACUAGAGUGCGGUAGGGGAGAUUGGAAUUCCUGGUGUAGCGGUGAAAUGCGCAGAUAUCAGGAGGAACACCGGUGGCGAAGGCGGGACUCUGGGCCGAAUACUGACGCUGGAGGAGCGAAAGCGUGGGGAG
rnacentral:rRNA from 1 species